CUCCCUACUCUGACAUCUUUUUUAGGCUAAAUGCUGGUGGUGACAGCGAAGUGGUGCUGUUGACCAGAACUGAAAAAAGAACCUGGACAUUUUUUGGCCAAUACAGUCUGCAGACAAUCAAUUAGUCUUCACAGGGUCUACAACCUCUAUGAAAACAGUGGUCCAUGUGUGAAAUAACCGAAACACUAUUCAUUUUCAUAAUAGUGUGAGUUAAUAUAUGUUCCCCCUCGAGCAGCUCAGUCACCACCCCAGGAAAUGACAUCAUUACUUUAUAAAUGAGAUUCAUGUUCUAAACUUGUAUUCCUGCAGAAACAGGCACAAUAAAGGCUGCUGAACUGAGAGCAAACUUUUAUAUAUUUCAUGACAAAAAUGUUUAAUAUUAUAUACAUUUAUGCGGUUCUCUUGUCUUUAGUCACAGAAGCUGUUCUGGGAGUGACACUGGAGCAAAAAGAUCUCUUUAUGACAAAAGGUGAGGACAAAACUGUGUAUAUCAGCUGCAAAGUGACCGGAUUAAGCACUAGCUAUGUCCACUGGUACCAAAAGAAAGACGGUGAAGCUCUCACAAGGAUCCUAUACGUCAAAAGUGGAAGCUCACCGGUUGAGGAUCCUAACCAUCCUGAAGCAAAAGACUUCAGUGUUAGGAUACAGUCAGAUAAUUAUGAGCUGAAGAUAGCAAGACUGAAGAAAAGUCACUCAGCAGUGUAUUACUGUGCCAGCUGGGAGAGCGGUGCACAGUGAAUGAAUUAAUUACAGUGUAAACAAAAAACCUGAUGAUACACAACCACAACAGAAAAAGUGUGUGUUUGGAGUAGCAAAGUUUGUUAAGCUGACUCUUACAUUAGAUGUUAAUCAGCUAGGCAAAAACAAACCUUUACAAUUUCAAUAAUAUAAGAAAACCAAAGCAUUUUGGUCUUUAUUUCUAUU